UACGUAGGGUGCAAGCGUUGUCCGGAAUUAUUGGGCGUAAAGAGCUUGUAGGCGGUUUUGUCGCGUCUGCUGUGAAAUUUCGGGGCUCAACCCCGAACUUGCAGUGGGUACGGGCAGACUAGAGUGUGGUAGGGGAGACUGGAAUUCCUGGUGUAGCGGUGAAAUGCGCAGAUAUCAGGAGGAACACCGAUGGCGAAGGCAGGUCUCUGGGCCAUAACUGACGCUGAGAAGCGAAAAGCAUGGGGGAGCGAACAGG
rnacentral:rRNA from 1 species